AGCAGGUGUUGGCUAUCCAAGCAGGUGCCUAACAUAUCCUGUUUCUUCUGUAGUUUGCUGACCUAAGCCAAGUUAAGGCACUUUGUCUUGGAAAUGGUCCACCGUAUACAUUAUUUCCUUCAGGGACACACAACUGUCGACCCGGCUACUCAGGAAGUUGAAGCAGGAGGAUCCCUUGAGCGCAAGACUUGAAAGCUGCGGAAAAGAAGCCAGGCGCAGUGGCUCACUCCUGUAAUCCCAGCACUUUGGGAGGCCCAGGUGGGAGAUCCUUUGAAGCAAAGAGUUCAAGGUGAGGCUGGGCAACAUAGCAAGACCCCAUCUCUACCAAAAAAAAUUUUUUUUUUAAUCAGCUGGGUGUUCUGGUGCACGCCCGUAGUCCCAGCUACUUGGGAUGCUGAGGGGGGUGAGUCCCU
rnacentral:lncRNA from 1 species